AUAGGAUGUCAGAAUCUUAUGAGAAUCUUUCCUUCAAAUAAGAAUUCUGCCUAUAAAUUAUUCCCAGCACAGUCACUGAAUUUUACAGCAAUCAGUUUAAGUCUUUUAUAUUUUAGAUGAGGAGAAAAAGAGGGAUGGAGACAAAGAGAAGAGAAGAGGCAGAGACUGACUGAGAGAAAAGGAGACCCAGUCAAUGCAGGCUGAACCCCGUGUCAGCGGUGGUGAACCUACGUACGGCACAAGUGCCGCAGCCAGCUCUUCGCUAUCACCGGGCGGACGGACGCAUGCUCUGAAAGAUAUAUUGUGAUAUCCCAAAUUUCCUCAGGAGUACUAAGAAGCUUCCCACAGUAACAACUGCUGAAUGUUAACUUGCCAAAUACCUUCAAAUUUUCUGUAAGAGUCCUUUUUCCAUUAAAAAAAAAAUGAAACACUGAUUGCACUUACAGGACAGCAAAGGUCAAUGUUCCACUUAAGAACCAAUACUCUAAGCCUACAGUAACUGCUUCAUAACCUAAGGUUGCUAACAUAGAAUGUUAUUUAGUUAGUCUAAAGGUUUAACAAGUAAAAACAAAACACCGAGAUCUGCUGAGCCACUUUAACAAGAAAAAAUCAUGCAAUAUAUUAUACUCAAAAUCCACAUGUCAAAAUAGAAAUUUCCACUUAGAAAAAUAAGGUACAUCUAAGCAGCACAAAUGUUCUAACACAAGUUUAGCAAACCAGGAGUCUUCAGGUUCCAAUACCCUAUUAUUCACACCUCUUUAAUCACUGCCAGAGUUGAUUAUAAAUAGCCUCAUACAUUUUUAAAUAAGGUCAUUCUGAAAUGAAACAAAGAUAGUAGUAAAUAUUCUUGUACAGAGGGAUUUAAAUCCCAGUAUACAACAGCAUAUUGC
rnacentral:lncRNA from 1 species